rnacentral:lncRNA from 1 species
UCUCACUAAGUUGCUUAGGACCUCGCUAAGUUGCUGAAUUUGGCUUUGAACAUGAGAUCCUAUUGCCUCAGCCUGCCAAGUCUCUGGGAUUGUAGACUUGGGCCACUGCACCCACCUCCAUGUUGCCUCUUGGGGGAAACAAAAGAUGAAGUAAACAUGAGUUGCAUGGUGCAGGCUGCUGCUGGUGUAUUGCUUUCCUGUAUAUUUUUCCAUAAAGAGACUACACUCUAAUGAUCAGAAGUGAAGUAUAGUGAGUAGCUAAAUAGUAGCACAGUCCCUUACUAUCAUCAAGUAUGCUGUACUUGUACAUAAUUGCACGUGCUCUACUUUUAUACCACUGGCCACACAGUAGGUUUAUUUACACUAUCACCGCCACACACAUGUAGUGUGUUGCACUAGGAUGUUAACAUGGCUGUGGUGUCACUGGGUGAGAGGAGGUUUCAAGCUCCUUCGUGUGCAUUCUAUGUGGCCGUCCUUGGGUGAACUGUCCUUAUGUAGCCCAGGACUGUCCUCAGGGUUUCUUGCCCUAGUUCUCCCCGAGACAGAGGUGAUAAUGGCCCAUGCCUCCUGGUUCUCCCUUCUUCUGUGACCCAAGGCCUGUGCCUCCCUCCUUCCUCCCACCGCCCACUCUGCUUCUUCCUGUGGGGGGAACCUGGGGGCUUGUCAGGGCCCCACCCUGUGUCCUGAAACAAGGCCCAUGUGUGGCUGCCACCCAGGCGCUGCCUUCCAGGCCCACAGACGCCAUUGCCCUGGCUUCCCCGCCUGUCUUGCCAUGGCAGGCAGACCCCUCGUCCCUUGGUCUUGUCUUCUUGCCAGUUUGGUUUUGUUUGAAGGUGAGGGGUGCGUGGAGCCAUGCCUGAGAGGUCAAAAGUCCACAAUGAAUGAUUGAUUCUCAACUUUUGGUUGAAUUACCACAUAGAUGAUUAGAGAAGUGCCCGGAAGGGUAAGGCUCCCUGCGGGUUUUGCUGACCCAGCACACUCAGGUCAAUGGUGCCCAGGUCAGGAGACAGAGGUGACUGCACCUCCAAACCACCCUUUGGCAGCUUUCCAGUUCCUCCCCUCAAAGGUGACAACUGUCCGCACACCUCAUCACCCUGGCAGUUUAGCUUAUCAAGGUCCCAAAACAGGACUAAUGUAUGCUAGGAAUGCUGAACCAAAGGAUAAACACAAGAAUGUGAACUUUUGUAAAAAAACAAAAACAAAAAUAAA